UUCUGACCGUAAACAAUGCCAACUAGCGAUCCGCCGGUGGAUUUUUAGCCCUGGUGGGUAGCUUCCCGGAAACGAAAGUUUUCCGGUUCCGGGGGAAGUAUGGUUGCAAAGCUGAAACUUAAAGGAAUUGACGGAAGGGCACCACCAGGAGUGGAGCCUGCGGCUUAAUUUGACUCAACACGGGGAAACUCACCCGGCCCGGACACCGUAAGGAUUGACAGAUUGAAAGCUCUUUCAUGAUUCGGUGGUUGGUGGUGCAUGGCCGUUCUUAGUUCGUGGAUCGAUUUGUCUGGUUUAUUCCGAUAACGAGCGAGACUCUACCCUACUAAAUAGUUGCGGGAUUAUUUACUGUCCCAGUAGCUUCUUAGAGGGAUUUUCGGUGUUUAGCCGCACGAGAUUGAGCAAUAACAGGUCUGUGAUGCCCUUAGAUGUCCGGGGCUGCACGCGCGCUACACUGGCGAAAUCAGCGUGCUGUAUCCAUUCUCGAAAGGGAUUGGUAAACCCAUGAAAAUUUGCCGUGCUUGGGAUCGGAAAUUGCAAUUAUUUUCCGUGAACGAGGAAUUCCAAGUAAGUGCGAGUCAUCAACUCGCUCUG
rnacentral:rRNA from 1 species